AAAAAGAUAAACCCUGGAUUUCCGUGUCCAACGUUUGACUGUCCGUCUUAUAUGAAAAUUUUUAUAAUUAGUAUUUUCAUUGUUGUUAGAUGUUAAAACAUGAUUAGUACUUUAUGUGUGACUUGUCUUUUUAUUUUUUUCAUAAUUUUUUUAAAUAAAAUAAACAGUCAAACCUUGAACAUAAAAACCAGUGUUUUAUUUUACA
rfam:Oryza glumipatula chromosome 2, whole genome shotgun sequence.